rnacentral:tRNA from 1 species
UAGAUGUAUAACAAGACUUCUAAUCUUUAAUAAGUGUAAUCACUACAUCUUU